rnacentral:rRNA from 1 species
GACGAGUGGCGGACGGGUGAGUAAUGUCUGGGAAACUGCCUGAUGGAGGGGGAUAACUACUGGAAACGGUAGCUAAUACCGCAUAACGUCGCAGACCAAAGAGGGGGACCUUCGGGCCUCUUGCCAUCGGAUGUGCCCAGAUGGGAUUAGCUAGUAGGUGGGGUAACGGCUCACCUAGGCGACGAUCCCUAGCUGGUCUGAGAGGAUGACCAGCCACACUGGAACUGAGACACGGUCCAGACUCCUACGGGAGGCAGCAGUGGGGAAUAUUGCACAAUGGGCGCAAGCCUGAUGCAGCCAUGCCGCGUGUAUGAAGAAGGCCUUCGGGUUGUAAAGUACUUUCAGCGGGGAGGAAGGUGAUGAGGUUAAUAACCUUGUCAAUUGACGUUACCCGCAGAAGAAGCACCGGCUAACUCCGUGCCAGCAGCCGCGGUAAUACGGAGGGUGCAAGCGUUAAUCGGAAUUACUGGGCGUAAAGCGCACGCAGGCGGUCUGUCAAGUCGGAUGUGAAAUCCCCGGGCUCAACCUGGGAACUGCAUUCGAAACUGGCAGGCUAGAGUCUUGUAGAGG